AACGAACGCUGGCGGCAUGCCUAACACAUGCAAGUCGAACGAUGGCUUCGGCCAUAGUGGCGCACGGGUGAGUAACACGUGGGAACCUGCCUUUCGGUUCGGAAUAACGUCUGGAAACGGACGCUAACACCGGAUACGCCCUGAUGGGGGAGAGUUUACGCGCGAGAGAGGGGCCCGCGCCGGAUUAGGUAGUUGGUGGGGUAAGGGCCUACCAAGCCGACGAUCCGUAGCUGGUCUGAGAGGAUGAUCAGCCACACUGGGACUGAGACACGGCCCAGACUCCUACGGGGGGCAGCAGUGGGGGAUAUUGGACAAUGGGGGCAAGCCUGAUCCAGCGAGGGCGCGUGAGUGAUGAAGGCGUUAGGGUUGUGAAGCUGUUUCGCACGCGACGAUGAUGACGGUAGCGUGAGAAGAAGCCCCGGCUAACUUCGUGCCAGCCGCCGCCGUAAUAC
rnacentral:rRNA from 1 species